GUGGUGAGAAGGCAGCAUACUGAGCUACACACACAAGAUAUACUUCGUGCUCAGGGGAAGGUCUGAGAUUACAAUCAGUCCGUGAGGGACACAGUUAAAACACUGGGGGUCAAACCAGAAACCAUGCUGGCGGCGUCAAGGAGCGUAAGAUGUGUCGUAGUAGUCUAACCUACUUGCCACGGACGUGUUGAUAUGACAUCGCCAUUGAAAGUGAAUCCCGUCAGAUUAUCAGUGUGAUAUGCUACAAACAACUCAAUUCAGACUACUCUCUCACCAC
rnacentral:RNase_P_RNA from 1 species